CUGGGACUCGGCCUGAGGGGCGCGGCCGGCCCCGAUGUCUUAAAAUGUCCUGGGCCUCGGGUUAGCCUAUCUGUGGCCCAUUACUCCGACAGUGUCCGUGUGUUGCAACGGGAUAUUAUAUUUAUCUUCUUCAGCGUCUACUAUAUUAUCCGUCUGUCUAUCCACGUCCCAUAGGAAUACAAGCUUAAUUCUCCCUCCUUUUUUUACUCUUGCAUGUCCAUGAAUUUUAUCACAGCUCCAUCUUUUAUGUGUUUCCACUUUGCUCACCAUUGCUCAUGGGUGUUGUCACUUGAUACGGAACAAGAAAUUUAUGUAUAUAGAAAAUAAGUUCUCAGGAUUGUAGCUAUACAAAGCACCAUUUCCUUCUCCAUUAUCCGCCUCUGCCAUUACUCACUUUGUUGCACAAUUUUAACUGUAACCAUAAAUUUCUUGUAGUGAAAGUUUAUUGAAUAUCAUAAUUACCAAGUUGCAACUACUACAAAAUGGUUUUAGCUACUAAUAUAAGACCUUUUGUCAAUUAUAUUUCAACCUACACUAGUUAAGUAUUACUCCCUCCGUCCAGAAAUACUUGUCGCACAAAUGGAUAAAACUGGAUGCAUCUAAAACUAAAAUAUGACUAGAUACAUCCAUUCCUCCGACAAGUAUUUCCGGACGGAGGGAGUAUUUCUCUGUGCUCUUACUAAGCCUACAAAAACAAAAUACACAAAUAGCAAAUCUAAGUAUGCUCUAGAUAUUCAUCAUGUGAGACAAUAGGUGAAAAAGACCAGCAAAGUAUCAUUCCAGAAAGAAAAGAUAUCAACAUCGGAUUUGAAUCUUUCACAUUUUAUCACAAAGAAAGACUGCUAAAAACACACUUCCAGUGGAUGUGGCACAAACAAAAGGGACCAAGCAGGACUGAGUGCAAGUCUCGUCUUCUUCAUCUGCAUAGAUUGAUAAUGUCGGGUCUAUGUACAGUUGAUUACACUUGAACUAUCUUGUAUGGGUAAAAAAACAUUAUUCAGAUCUUUUUAUUUUAUAAUUAGCGUGUGAAUUUUCUUGGGGUGGGCAGUUAGUAUAGGUAUAUAUUCGGUAAGGAUUGGGGUGCAAAUGAUGCAAAUUCACAUGAAGUUUAAUAUAAUGCAAGUAAAAGUUGUAUAGACUCACAAAAUAAUGGAACUUUUUGUUCUUCAGGCAAGCUGGAAUGUUCUUGCAUCAGCAGUGAAUGUGUUGCUACCCAUAAUAUUGAUUUUAAUUUUAAAAGAAAUAAUUAGACAUCAAAAUAAACUCAUGAAAUAAUAGCAUGACAAAUACCACAAUUGAGAAGUACGCUACAUGGUCUCUCCUACAAUAAUUUUGUGAUAUUAACUGAGCUUAAUCAUGAGUUUCACAUAUCUCUCUCUUGGUCAGAAAUAGUUUUGUACUCCCUCCGUCCCAUAAUAUAAAAGAUCAUUUUGCAAGGUGUUUUAGCUUGCAAAAUGAUCUUAUAUUAUGGGACUGAGGGAAUAAUUUACAAGAUCGUCAAACUUACAUCUUUUUUACUGCAUGUUUGGUAGUUGGACAUCUGUUUACGAAAGGGAAGGUAGCAUACUUGUGGCUGCACAAACAAUUAUGUUGUUUACAUCGAGCUAAAAGAAUGAUGGAUUUUUUUUUUACUUGCUAGACUAAAAGAUCGAUUGAAAAAAUAUUUUUCGAGUUUAACUCUUUAUCAAUUUUACCUCGACAAAGAGGCAGAUCAUUAAUUUUGCAACCAACAUUUCAUUUGCAUGGUACUCGGCAAUCUGGACCGAUGUGAAUCCUAUAUCCCAUCAAUUGAGUUUUCCACGAGAAUCUAUCUGUGACUGAAGUCCCGCGUUGCUAUCUGAACUGUGUGCUACCACAAGUGAAAUCCACCUCGAAUUACCUAUUUUUGGAUCGCAUUGAUGCGCAAUGGUUGUAGACACAAUCCAGUCUUCUACUGAUGAAAUAUUGAACCAAUGUUAGUAAUUCUGUUAAUGUUAAAUACGCAUAAGCAAAAUAUCUAUCAAAACUUCAAUGAUGACAUGUCUGCAACAUUCUUGAAUUUGCAUUACUAAGUACUCCCUCCAUCCCAAAAUAAGUGUCACUAACUUUGUACUAAAUCAGCGGCACUUACUUUGGGACGGAGGGAGUAUAUACAGAGCUGAAGUUUAACCAAGAACAUUACAUCAUUGCAUUUCUUCACAGAAUUAGCCCACCGCUGUGAUUACAAUGCUAAUUGUAGUAAAUUUUAGAUUCAACUAUGCUAUACUCCCCCCCGUCCCAAAAAGCUUGUCUUAGAUUUUUCUAAAUAUAAGUGUAUCUAGACAUGUUUUAGUGUUAGAUUCGUCCGUAUCUAGAUAAAUCUAAGACAUACUUUUUGGGAUGGACGUAAUAGAACUGAAGGUGCCUACACCAAAUUUCUCCAAGAUUUCUGAAGACAGCAAAAAUAAGAAAAUAUUUGCCCUAAGAUUUCUCCAAGAAAUGCAUACCGGGAGCAAAAUUAAUUAAUUGAUGUAGAUGACUUUAAUCUUCAUGUAAGGUGGAUCAACUGCCAUACAGGAGGGUACAGGUACAUGCUCAUAAACUUGGUUGAUGUUGCCGUGGCUAAUCUAGCCUUAUUUCUUGCCUCUGGUUUCUAUGAACAAGAAACCAACAAAACUAAAGUUUACUUUAAUAUAAAGUUUUAGCUGCAGCUAGAAAAGAGCCGACAUGCUCUUGUACAUUUAGUCGACGGACUUUAAAGAAAAAUCAUGGAUAAAUGAAGAAGUUAGAUCUGGCCAUAUGGUGCAAGAAACAAUUAGUUGAGCGAGACAAAAGCUUAGUGAUGAGAAAGAAUACAUUGGUAUUGAAGACAAACACCAUGGAAGCCUUAACAAAUCUACUCUUCCACCCUUUCGGAGGCCGCGCAAGCACAGACCAUGAGAACUCCAAGAAUCUUGAACCCAGCUCAUGUACAACUGGAGUAGCUGCUGCACUCGUAGUCCUGCUGCGGUGCCACUGUUCGAUGCGCUAGGAAGCAGGUAUAAAUGAAGGUCGUACAUGACAUAGAAGACGGCGAGCUACAUCUUGCAUGUACAAACGAGGGCGACCUAGGCUUGUGUUCGACAAUGCAGUUCUUGGUUGGUGUGUCCGAUAGCGACCAGGGUAGUGAUGCGAGGCGGCGAUGACUAAACGCGAUAGUAACCCUAGCUGGUCGCGCUCGCUCUUCACGAGAGGAAGAAUAAAUCAGAUUGGGUCGAGCGAGUCGAUGAGGCUGGUAAGAGAGCGGGCGGGUCCACUUGUCGGCGAGAAUUUGGUUGAGAGAGGAGGAAGCGACACACGAACAUGCGACUAGACGUACCAUGACCUACCAUCACAACCGCACUCCCCUUUGAUAGUAAAAGAUAGUAAACAUAAUAAUAGUUUCUUCCUUCUGAGGUUCAUGAGCUCCAUGAGCUCGUGAACAAGCGAAGAAUCUCUAUUGCUGGUUCUUUGAAGGCAUUGGCUAAUAUCCUUUAUUUUCAUAUGGCGGGAUGGUACUUCCAAUUGGUACAAUCAUUGUUGGAUUUGAUGGAAUCGAUCCGGACUUGGUACUAUGUUUAUAAGCGAGGGUGCAAGGCUCAAGGGAGGCCGGUUCUCUAACUCUCUGUAUGCUUAUGCUAUCUUUGAUGAGGGUUACAAAUUCAACGUGUUAGUUGAGGAAGCUACUGAGUUAGCAUGGCUGGCUUUUAUCACGCAACAUUCCGUGAUGGAGCCAGUGGUGGUUGUAUUCGUAUUGGUUUGGGUUCAGAUAGAAGAGCUCCAAGCUUACAAACUUUUGGAUAACCGAGUUCAUCAAUGCCAAACUAUAUGAUGGUUUCUCCACUUCCACCCCAUGAUUUGCAAUUUCCCCAUAUGAUGCAUUGAUACCAUUCCAUAUGAUGCAGAAAAUAAUCAUCAGGUUUUCAAGUGUAGGCAUCGUGUGAAAGCCAGUUAGUGUUCCUGGUUUAUGAAUUUAAGAAUACAUUCUCAUCUCCCUUCUGUCUAUAUUCCAUUAUUUUAGAUUUAUAAGUGCUUUAGAUGAUUCUUGAGCACCUUGUCCAUUCCAUAUGAUGCAGAAAAGAAUCGUGUGAAAGCCAGUUAGUGUUCCUGGUUUAUGAAUUUAAGAAUACAUUCUCAUCUCCCUUCUGUCUAUAUUCCAUUAUUUUAGAUUUAUAAGUGCUUUAGAUGAUUCUUGAGUGCCUUGUGCAACCUUUCCAUUUCAGGCAUCAUUUCUAAGUUGUAUGGCAUCCAUCCCGAUAAUUUGUUCUGCACCAUGCUGCCUCAUGUAGGAUUUUGGUGCUCGUGAUCUACUUUGCUUAGGUCCUGCAGGAGCGUGGCGCUUUGCUGACCAAGAAGAUUGAGAGGGGACCAAUUGCUAGAGAGUGAGAAGGCCCGAACCGCUGCGUUGGAGGCCUCCGUAUCCGAUUGCAUCUCCGAGGAGCAAUAUUACGAGAUGUGUCGUCGUCUUAGCUUGGUUUGGAAGGAGGCCAACAAUUAUCAGAGCAUCGCCGAGUUGGAUGCUUUGGAGGCCUGUUCCUGCCAGGAAUUAUUGUUGAAAACGCGAGACGCUGGGGAUUCCAACCAAAACAUUACCUCCGGUAUCCGGGCAAUGGUGCAAGAUGAGAGAGACAGAGGCUGACCCGUGGCCACAAAUCCAGUCCGUCUGGGAUGAGAUUGAAGCUGCAGAGAAGCGUGAGAGCCCUUCAAUUCCCGAGGAGGCCGCCCUGAGAGAGGUCGAUCAACUCAUGUCGGUGGAACUGUCAGAUCAAUACUGCCAAAUAGCCAAGCCCCAGGAGGCCGGCUGAGGUAUUCUUCCAUAAAUGUAUGUUGUGCCGGAUCAAGACAGCCUUGGUGUUGUCACUAUUGUUCUUCAACAGAUGUCCUAGGCGCUGACCCGUGUGGCAGGUUCGAUGUGGAUCUCGCAGGAUGUUGAUGUCCUCUUGGGUCCGUUGAUCGAACGUGUAGCUGGAGCCCCGGAUCGCUUGGUCGACCUCCAAGAAGCUGUCGCCAAGGAAGGAGCAGGACCCGUGCUUGCACGCUUGAGGUUGCGCUAUCCUGGGGUCUCCACUCAUGUUGUUGCGACCUCCGUUCCUGAGAACCGCCCUCUGACGAAUUUCUUUGAAGAAGUCAAGGACAUCGCCUUGAUGGUGGCGACUGGAUGUGAGCCUGAAAGAGUAGGAACAUUUGUUGGUUGUGUGUGGCGUUAGGCCAUGUCAACUUUGUUACAAUUUUUAUGUUUCAACUUUUGUAGUUUGAAUUCUUGGUUGAUGCCUUUGGGCAAAGUUUUGACUGACCAAGCGCAUGUGGGAGGCCUAAGGUCGCGUCAGCCGUCAAGUUGGUUAUUAUUAUGGCGGGGCAUACCCGCGAGAAAUUAUUCA